ensembl:lincRNA
CCGAAAGGGACCUCCUGGGAGUCCCCAGAAGACCCCAGGCCACAUUCUGGGAACUGCUUGGCUAGUUGAUAACCUCUGAAGUUUCAUUGAAGCCAGAAAUUCUGAGGCAACUAUUUUUGGACAGUGGGUCAGGGAUGUAGAGGUGAGAUACAGUGCAGUAGGGAAGAAAAUAUGACAAUGUAUUAUUGGACAUUUAGAAAAUGGACAUGUUUGUGGUCAAGGACUCUGUGAAGUAAGGAGAGAAACUGAGAAUGGUUUCUUAGAGGAGGAAGCAUUUGAAUCAGGCUUGAGAAGAUGGGUAAGGAGAUGGAGGAACUUAUUACAGGAGGUAGGUAUUAACUCUCACCAAUUGAAAGAGCAAUAUAGUCAGCUGUACCAGAUUCCUGUCCUAUCGGUGCUUACCCUUUUGACUUACCUACUCUUGAGCAAUUUGAACAGCUACUAUCAAGUUCCCUGUACAGGGAGAUGACUUGAGUAUGAGGACUUUUGCCUACCUUUAAUAGAAGAGUGUAUUUUACUAUCUAUUUCUGUGAUGCUCUUGAGCUAUAACUUAGAGAGAGGGCCCCAGUCCAACACCUAAGACUACUGAUGUGGAAAGAGCACUAACCUUGGGCAAGGACUGGGUCUGAGACUCGAAUUUGAGUCCUUGAGAAAGUCUGUGAGCCUCAGUUUUCUUAUAUCUAAAGUGGUGAUAACAUAUGUUUUUGUUUGCCUCACUGACUUUUAGGCUUAAAUGAGCUAUUGGACAAUAGAGUGAUUUGUGAACAGUAAAGUGUGUUAUGUAAAUGUAGAGUAAUUGGACCCCUGGCCCAUGUAUAGUCCUCUAUGAAAACAUAGAUUCCCAUGUGUAAAUAAUGCUCUUUUCCAUAUUUCAAAGAGUAUGAAUCGCAUCAUAAUUUAGAUGAUCCCAUCAGUGUCAUCUUGUAAUUAUAUUUGGAAAUUACAGUUGCUUGGGUUAAGCGUGGCUGAGACUUGGUUGUCAUUGAAGAAUCUGUUUUUCCUUCUUCCCCAAGUUGGUGCGCAAGAAACAUGUGUUGUCCUGCUUCCAAGAUGCCCUUGUGAGACAUGCCUCGCUGGUCAUGCAGCAUUUGGCUCAGGAUCAAAGAGUCUGCAUCCACUUCAUAAGCAUACUUUUUGAACUAUUAUGCAAUGUGGAAGAUGGGAGUUUAACAGACCUCUGUAUUGAAGGUAAGAUGAAACUGUAUGUAACAAGCAUUUGAAGCUGGGGAUAUUAGCCUUAAUUGUGGCUCUGGUUAUUUGAGACAUUGGUGAAAUGGUCCAUUUAAAGACAGAUAAAGAGAACUCAACUAGUGAUCAGUCACUAACUCUACAUUUCUUUAGUGGGCACCUACUCUGUCAGGUCUUAUAUCAGGCACUAAGGAUACAAAGGUGGAUAAGAUAUGGUGGAUAAGACAUAGAUAAGACAUGCCUUCUAAAAGCUUAUGAUCUGGAGGGGAAAUAGAAUGGUAAAUAAUUAGAAUUAAUGAGUGCUAUUACAAAGGCAUGUACAAAACUCUCUUUUUAUUCCAUUUCACAUUGGUUGGUUGGAAGUUGUGUGCUUAAUGCAUGGGUUUACCUGUAAAGGACUUGUAGAGAAAGAAGACAAGAGAACUGGGGUGGGAGGAUUCUUGAGGAGAAAGCAAGAGCUGUAUCAGAGUCCAGACAGGAAUCAGAAACCACUGUAUUUAUUGGAACAGAAAAAACUUUAAUACAAAGACUUAUUAAGUGGUUAACUAAGGAGGCAAAAAGAGAAUGCCAAAUGUUUUUUAAAAAAUUUCUUUUAUUUAAUUCUCCGCCC